rnacentral:rRNA from 1 species
GAUGAACGCUGGCGGCGUGCCUAAUACAUGCAAGUCGAACGAGGUGCUUUUGUAGCAAUACGAGAGUAUCCUAGUGGCGAACGGGUGAGUAACGCGUUGGUGACCUGCCCCAAAGUGUGGAAUAACAGUCCGAAAGGAUUGCUAAUACCGCAUGUGGUCCUCGGGUUUAGAAACCGGUGACUAAAGGAGUAAUCCGCUUUGGGAGGGGCCUGCGUCCCAUCAGCUAGUUGGUAGGGUAACGGCCUACCAAGGCGACGACGGGUAGGGGACCUGAGAGGGUGGCCCCCCACAGUGGAACUGAAACACGGUCCAUACACCUACGGGUGGCAGCAGUAGGGAAUAUUGCUCAAUGGGCGAAAGCCUGAAGCAGCAACGCCGCGUGUGCGAUGAAGGUCUUCGGAUCGUAAAGCACUUUUCUGCGAGAUGAGAAAGGACAGUAUCGUAGGAAUAAGUCUCGGCUAACUACGUGCCAGCCGCCGCUGUAACAC